AGCGAACGCUGGCGGCAGGCUUAACACAUGCAAGUCGAGCGGGCACUUCGGUGUCAGCGGCAGACGGGUGAGUAACACGUGGGAACGUACCCUUUGGUUCGGAAUAACGCUGGGAAACUAGCGCUAAUACCGGAUACGCCCUUUUGGGGAAAGGCUUGCUGCCGGAGGAUCGGCCCGCGUCUGAUUAGCUAGUUGGUGGGGUAAUGGCCUACCAAGGCGACGAUCAGUAGCUGGUCUGAGAGGAUGAUCAGCCACACUGGGACUGAGACACGGCCCAGACUCCUACGGGAGGCAGCAGUGGGGAAUAUUGGACAAUGGGCGCAAGCCUGAUCCAGCCAUGCCGCGUGAGUGAUGAAGGCCUUAGGGUUGUAAAGCUCUUUUGUCCGGGACGAUAAUGACGGUACCGGAAGAAUAAGCCCCGGCUAACUUCGUG
rnacentral:rRNA from 1 species